CUUUUGUGGGGUGCUCGAGUGGCGAACGGGUGAGUAACACGUGAGUAACCUGCCCUUGACUUUGGGAUAACUUCAGGAAACUGGGGCUAAUACCGGAUAGGAGCUCCUGCUGCAUGGUGGGGGUCGGAAAGUUUCGGCGGUUGGGGGUGGACUCGCGGCUUAUCAGCUUGUUGGUGGGGUAGUGGCUUACCAAGGCUUUGACGGGUAGCCGGCCUGAGAGGGUGACCGGCCACAUUGGGACUGAGAUACGGCCCAG
rnacentral:rRNA from 1 species